GGUGGCUAAGUGUUUGGCUGCUAACCAAAAGGUCUGCAGUUCUAAUCUGCCAGCCACUC
rnacentral:tRNA from 1 species